GAUGAACGCUGGCGGCGUGCCUAAUACAUGCAAGUCGAGCGAAUGGAUUAAGAGCUUGAUCUUAUGAAGUUAGCGGCGGACGGGUGAGUAACACGUGGGUAACCUGCCCAUAAGACUGGGAUAACUACGGGAAACCGGGGCUAAUACCGGAUAACAUUUUGAACCGCAUGGUUCGAAAGUCAAAUGCGGCUUCGGCUGUCACUGAGGGAUGGCCGCGCGUCGCAUGAGCUAGUUGGUGAGGUAACGGCUCACCAAGGCAACGAUGCGUAGCCGACCCGAGAGUGUGAUCGGCCACACUGGGACUGAGACACGGCCCAGACUCCUACGGGAGGCAGCAGUAGGGAAUCUUCCGCAAUGGACGAAAGUCGGACGGAGCAACGCCGCGUGAGUGAUGAAGGCUUUCGGGUCGUAAAACUCUGUUGUUAGGGAAGAACAAGUGCUAGUUGAAUAAGCUGGCACCUUGACGGUACCUAACCAGAAAGCCACGGCUAACUACGUGCCAGCAGCCGCUGUAA
rnacentral:rRNA from 1 species